UGUCAAUCACUUGAAUCUAAAUCUCUUAUCUAAAUAUUUGGUACCAUAUUAUGUAUAAAUAUUUUUGUAUAAAAUUCAGUUUAAUAUUAUAAUGAAGAAGUUUAGGAUAUGGGAGUAAAAUUGCGUGGAGUUUUUCUUUGUUUUUUCUUAAUUUGGCCUACAAGCACGUUGGACCUUGAUGUUCCGGAGCUGGAAGGGAGAUGGAGGUAUCGAAACCCCAGAUGGCAACUCGACGAGAGCAUAAAACCCUGUAUGAGAAUCCAACCGACAAGCAAGGAUAUUAUCAAAAGAUUCAACUCUAUACUGCCAUAUUUUGAUCGUGAUCACGCAAAUACGGCGUUUCUCCAGAAGUACCGCGCGACUGUACUUGGCCUCACCGACACUGAUGAUCUUCUCGACGUAGAAGCUGCAUACCACGCCGCGGUGCUCACUCCGCUUAUCUUUUUGCGUCAGUACAGA